rnacentral:rRNA from 1 species
UACGUAGGGUGCAAGCGUUGUCCGGAAUUAUUGGGCGUAAAGGGAGCGUAGGCGGGUUUCUAAGUCAGGUGUUUAAUCCCGGGGCCCAACCCCGGACAGGCACUUGAAACUGGGAAUCUUGAAUAGUGGAGAGGUCAGUGGAAUUGGGGGUGUAGCGGUGGAAUGCGUAGAGAUCCCCAAGAACACCAGUUGCGAAGGCGGCUGACUGGACACAUAUUGACGCUGAGGCUCGAAAGCAUGGGGAGCAAACAGG